UUCAACAUCACAAAAGCUCUCAUAGUGAAAAGAAGCCAUAGCAAUGUAAGGCAUGUGGUAAAGCCUUCAGGUUCCAACUAGUUUUUACAGACAUGUGAAAACAAAAUGUAUUGAUAAACACCGUUAAUGUAAAGAAUCGCCAAGAGCCUUCAUUUAUCUCUCAGCUGUGCCAUCAUGUAUGAUAAUCCUUAUUGGGGAUGGACCCUAGUAAUGUAAGAGGGUUAGAAAGCGUUCAUUUUUUCCAGUUUAUUGUAAAGGAUGAAUGAACUCACUGAAGAGAUCCCUGUCAUGUAAGGAUUGUAGAAGAACCUUUGGCCAUCCUAGUUCUUUACAAAAUCAUGAAGGGACUCACACCCAACAAUAUGUGUAUGAACAUAAGGAAUGUGGGAGAGCCUUUCUUGGACAUGUGAGAAUGCACCUGGUGAAAUAGUGUAUACGUAGAGAAGGUGGGAAAGCCUUCAGUUGUCUCUUUUCCUUGGAAAGAUCAUUAAAAAAAAACUCAAAUUUGAGAAUUGUUUUUAAUGUAAAAAUAUAGGAAAACCUUCAUGUUGCCUUAUGUCCCUACAAUAAUACAAUGUGAAAAUGUACACUGGAUAGAUACUGUAUAAUUGCCUAUUUAAAAAAAGUUUAAAUUUUAACAAAUACUUUCAGAGUAGCUUGAAAACUGCACUGGAAGGAAAUCCUAUUAGUGUAACUAACUGGUAUAUGUAAACCUGUUGCAAAUGAAGUCAUAUAUACCCCAAAACUCACAGCAUUAAAGAAGUUCUAUGAA